AAAUUUGUUAUUACGCUUGUUAUUUAAUUAACAUAGAAUUGUUAUAAAAGAUAAUUGCAAUAUUGUGUUUGGUAAAUUUGAUAACGCGUGUGCGAACGACGCAACGUUUUUUUUUUAUAUUUAAUUUUUAAAGGAUAGUUGGGAAUAUAGGAGAGAAAUUUAAUAAUCUUGGGAAUGGAUGUGUGUAGAGAGAAAAAAAGAAUUUAUAUAUUUAAUCGGCAAUUAUUUUACGCGUAUUUUAUAUCGCAGAAGUUUUUUUUUUGUACAAAAACGCUUAAAAUUUUUAUAAUAGGAGAGAUUGUAUAACCAGCGUUUAACGUUUACGAAAAAAAAAAAAGAAAGAAAAAGUGAUUUACAUGGAGUAUUAAUUGUAUAUACAAAGGGGAUAAAAAGAAGAAUUAAUCGAGUUAAUAUUUUUCUUGCGAGUGCAAAAAGAAGAGGUUCUAAUUUCUUUUUCUUUUUUACAGAGAAAGUAACAAGAAACUGUUAAACUGUUUAUAUUCGAAAAUAUGGUAAAUUCCAUUUGCGCGAACCUGUUCAAGAUAAGCAAAUUUAUAUGGCCAAGUUGUUUAUGCAAUAACGGUUUUAAUUAUCUCCACCGGUCCAUGAUUUUUCAUUCAAUCAAUAAGAGUCCAUUUGCACGUGAAUAACGUAAUAACGUUUCAUAUUUUACGAAGAAUUUGGGGGAAAAAAAGGGGAAAGGCCUUGCGCACACGUGGUAUAUAAUUAUUUAAUAAAUGAAGAAUUCAUUUAUUUUGCAACAGUGACACAGUUUAAUAAAUUAAUAAUACCUUGUUGAAUUAAAUACAGAUCUGAUCCUCCCAGAUUUUUCUUCGAAUUAAUUAAUUCUCGACAGUUUCGUAAAUUGGGAAUUUGCCUUAAAUAGAAUUUUGUGAAAUUGAAAAAGAAAUAUGAAGGGAAUUAUUAUGGCCAAGGAUUUGAAAAAGUAUUUAAAAAAAGUAGCGUAAGAAAAUUUUCAUCGCGCGAUUUCCUUGUGCACACUUUUAAUUGGCUUCGUAUAAUUUAAAUUAAAAAAAAAAAUUCCGAAAAAUUUCUAAAGUGAGAGGUACGAUUAGUCAUAAAAUUUUUCGUCUCUUGUUUUCAAUUUAACAAGCCAUUAAAAUCAACGAUCAAAUUGUUGCUUUUAAUGAAACUUUGAGCGUGUGUAUGGAGCAUAAUCGAUUGUAUAGAGACCAAUUUUUUUUUUUUAGUGUAAUAAAUCUUCAAAGCUUUUUUUUUAAAUAUAGCUUUGUAUUAAUAGAUGGAGUAAAAUUUCAAAUUUUAUUCGAAAAUUUUCGAAUUAUUUAAUCUUUUACAUAGAAAGACUUUUCUCAAAACUUCAUCCUAAUAUUCCAUAAUAAUACACUCGCUCAUUUUCCAUUUCAAAGUUCUAUUUUAAAUUCGCUUUUAACCACAAUUUCGCUCAAAAGUUUCUUUCUCGAAACUCUUAGGAAACCAUGUUCCAAGAGAAGUGAUUACCGAACAAAGGUGGCCCGCCUAACUUCUAAUAUUGAGAGCUUGACACAUCGGGAAGUCAGUGGCUCGAAGCCAAGAGAGACAGAGAGAAAGAGAGACAGAGAGAGAGAGAGACCUCCUCGUUCGCUGGACGAUGACUCCGAACGUUCGCCUAACGUUCCAUCCACAAUGAUUCGAUCCCCUCGAUCUCGAUCGAAUCGUGGAUCUGGAAAAUCGGAUCGAAGUAAUCCGUGCCACGGUGUCGCGUGAACCGUGACGCGUUUUCCCGGAUGAUCGGCCCCGUGGACUUUGUCACAAAGCCCUGGCCAAUGGCGAAACUCGUUUUUGCAAAGUGAUCGUUCAUCGAGACGCGAUCGAUGCUUGGUAAAAAAAAAAAAGGAAAAAACGACGAAAAGAGAUUUUAAAAAGAAAGGCGUUGGUUUCGAACCUAACCGACUGGCUCCGGCCGAACAAAGUCAAUUACAGGGAACAACAUAUUGGGUCGAGUCGUGCCGGAUGUACUACUCUCUCUUUCUCCCCCUGUUGUUUCGUUUUGCUUUUAUUAGGAAACGACGGUAGCCAGUUCUAAUACGAUUGAAGUAACUCGAAUCUCAAGGGAGAAGCAAGCGAAAAAGACGUAAACGUUGGAUACGAGGGCAACGAUAAUUAGCCGAGGAACGAGUGAAAAGAUAUUUUCACGAGAGACCAAUUUGCUAGGAAUCAUGAAGUUAUAAAAGGCGAUUAAAGAGAAUUGCGAAACAGCGAUGGUGCAGAGGGCAGAGAGAUAUUACGGAAAAAUUGGAUUUGAGGAUUCGUGGAAAAAUGUCUUCCAAGUUAAAGCCGUGGAUAAUUAAUUAGUCGACGAUAAUCCCGAUUCUCGUUAGUGAAACAACACGGGCUGUGCUCCUCUCGUGUCAAGGCUGUGUCUCAUUUUUCUCCAUUUGAUUUCGUCCUGGUAUUCGUCGUGGAAUGUUAAUAAUGUAUUAUAAUUAGAAUACUUUUAAUCUUGAAGCUUGAAAAGAUUAAUAAGUCUUUUCAGUGGAACGAGAUUUUUUCUCUUAAUCGAAUCAAUUUGUUGUUGGCGUAUAAACAAAAUGGAAAAUAUAAUAUUAAUCUCGAAGAAAAUUAAA